CUGUGUCUGUGUCAGAGUCUGUGUCUGUGUCUGUGUCCAUGCCUGAGUCUGUGUGUUCUUGGUUUAUUAAAAGACUGAGCAGUACAGGAAGGUCCCCCGAUGAAGUCAGGAGGGUGGUGGUGGUGGAGAAGAGAUGGAGGUGGAGCAGGAUUCUGAUGAAACCAGUGGAAAAUCCUAGAUCUGGCCAAACUGAGUAAUCGGGGGACGAGGGCCUCGGUACGAGAGGUGACUGAGAACCUGACGGUCACUCUGGCUGAGCUCCAGAGCUCCUGUGGGGAGAAGGGAGAAACUUCCAGAAGGACAGCCAUCACUGCAGCACUCCACUGAUCUGGGCUCUAUGGCAGAGUGGACAGAUGAAGUGACAGACACAUGACUCUCAGACUGAGAAACAAGAUUCUCUGGUCUGAAGAAACCAAGAUUGUUUGGUCUCAGUUCUAAGCUUCACAUGUGGAGGAAGCCAGGACCAGCUCCUCACCUGCCCGACACCACGGCAAAGGUGAAGCAUGGUGGGGGCAGCUUCAGGCCGGACAACAAACCUGUGAAUGGGUCUGAGUGGCCCAGCCCAGAGCUAAAAUUCAGUGUCACUGUGGGAUAUUGAGAGUGAUGUAAUGUAUAUGGGUUUGUGUUAUGUUUAGGGGACUGUUGUUUCUGUGUGCUUGUGCUUUGGUGUUUGUUCCCUCUGCCUCCUGUGGGAGGUUCCUUCCUGUUAGAGUGGAGAGGCGUGGUUUCCUGCUGGCUGGAGGUUGGCACACCUGCACCUCCUUUUCCUGUCCUCAUUCCUUUUAAGCUGGAGCAGCGCUUCACUUCGACGCCUGAUUGUCCUGCCUUCAGCGAAACUCACCUGUUAACCUGAGAAACUCACACAGAACAGUUCCGGUUCAGCAAUGGAUUCUUCUACUUUUAACUUGAAAUGCUAAGACCAGCACAGCUCCAGUGGAACCAGCUCCAGUGGAACCAGCUCCCACACCUAAUGACUUCACAUCAGCCUCAGAGGGUCUGACCUGUUAGUGGUGCCAUUGCACUGAUUGAAUGUCGAAGUAGUUCAAUUUGUAGCUAAUGUGAACUGUUAACGUUUCAUGUGUUCACUCUGGUUUUAAAACAGCUUGUAAAAAAACAGGCAGAGUUUAACAACCAGGCUCUUUAAUCCUGACACUGUACUCUAAUCCUACUAAUGUCUAUUAUUCUAUGGUGUAGUAUGUUCUGAAAACACCAGUCUGAACUGGUCUGUGCUUUGGACCAGUUUAUGACUGGUAUGAAAAUAAAUUUGACGAAACACCA